rnacentral:rRNA from 1 species
AUACGUAUGGUGCGAGCGUUAUCCGGAUUUACUGGGUGUAAAGGGAGCGUAGGCGGUUUUAUAAGUCUGAUGUGAAAGCCCGGGGCUCAACCCCGGGAUUGCAUUGGAAACUGUAGAACUAGAGUGUCGGAGGGGUAAGUGGAAUUCCUAGUGUAGCGGUGAAAUGCGUAGAUAUUAGGAGGAACACCAGUGGCGAAGGCGGCUUACUGGACGAUUACUGACGCUGAGGCUCGAAAGCGUGGGGAGC